GAUGAACGCUGGCGGCGUGCCUAAUACAUGCAAGUCGAGCGAACAGACGCGGAGCUUGCUCCUCUGACGUUAGCGGCGGACGGGUGAGUAACACGUGGAUAACCUACCUAUAAGACUGGGAUAACUUCGGGAAACCGGAGUUACUACCGGAUAAUAUAUUGAACUGCAUGGUUCAAUAGUGUAAUACGGUUUUGCUGACCUUUAUAGAUGGAUCCGUGUCGCAUUAGCUAGUUGGUAAGGUAACGGCUUACCAAGGCGACGAUGCGUAGCCGACCUGAGAGGGGGAACGGCCACACUGGAACUGGAACACGGUCCAGACUCCUACGUGAGGCAGCGAUAGGGAAUCUUCCGCAAUGUGCGAAAGCCUGACGGAGCGACGCCGCGUGGAUGAUGAGGGUCUUCGGAUCGUAAAACUCUGUUAGUGGGGAAGAACAAAUGUGUAAGUAACGAUGCACGUCUUGACGGUACCUAGUCAGAAAGCCACGGCUAACUACGUG
rnacentral:rRNA from 1 species